rnacentral:lncRNA from 1 species
AGACGCCCCAGCUCCGCCGAGAGGCCGCUUGCGCAGGCUCCUUCUUCUUCCGCAAGUGUAGGCAGAGCCCCCGGAGCCAUGGCCAGCCCUUCCCGCAGCUCCGAAGCCACUGGCAAGCCCCGAGGCAGGGAUGGCCGGCCCAGGAGGGAGGAGGACGACGUCCCUCCCGAAGAGAAGAGGCUGCGGCUCUUGCUGGAGGGGGGAAGCGCACAGCCCCAGGACGGCGAGGACGGGGAGGACGCGCCGCGGCCGGGCAGGGUGGAGACCGGCACCCAGACAGGUGGCGACGGCAGAGGAUUUCUAUGGGAAUACUCUCUUUGAAGAACCCAUGAAGCAGUGUCAGGCUGGUACGAGGAUCAGCAGUGAUUUCUUUGAGGAGGAGAUCCGUUUCUUCACUCACAGGUCAUGUCUGAGUGGAUCAAGAAGAACAGAGGGCCCUUUUAUGAGAUUUUGUCUGCGUAGACCAUUAGCUUGGUAAAAAUGUCAAAACCAUCCUCAUUCUUUAAUAGCAGAUUAUUUUGGACUUUUCUCUGCCAGAAGCAGCAUGGGCAUUCAGAUGCGUUUAAGGAUAAAAUGAUCUUUCUCAUCACCAGGCCUGGUGCUCUGGAUGGCUGAGGUUUUAAUGUGACUGGAUGUCCCUUGGAGUGGCUCCCAGGCUGUGAUCUUGUGGUCGGGUGGCAAGGGGUUGCUUUAUUCGGUGAUGGCUAGAGGAUGUUUUAGCAGGUAAAUCGGGAUCUCAGGAGCCCCUGAGUGCCAAGUCCUGCUGCAGGGCAUGUGUUUAUGGUGGGG